UACAGGGAAGGGAAGAUGUAGCAUCCUCAUGCCACAUUUUCAAAUUUCCAUGUUAACUCUAGAAAAAGAAACAUAUACCAUAGCAGAGCUGAUUCUAACAGCUUGAAAUAUUUGUGUGAAUUUUUUAUAACAAACAUGUCUUCUGUAAAUAGAAAUAUUAAAGCACACAGAAAUGGGACAUUCUAGUUUAUCUGGGCUUCCUUUGAACCCCUUAUGUGUUUCUCAAAGUCACAAUGUUCAAGAGGCAUUUACUAGCUAUGAUGGCUUCAGGUAGUUCGGACAGUGAACAAGAAAAGUUGUGUCGGAUUACCAUAUAGCUAAUAUUUUCAAAACUAUUCAUUAACAAGAAAGCAUAUUUAUAUUUAACAUCAUAGAGUUAAUGGAAUGGGUACAAAACAAAAAAAAAUGCAAGCUGAGCCAUGAAAAAUGAUCAUAGCUGGAGGAAAAUAAAUUUUAAAGAAGUGUCUCUUUGUAAGAGAACUCACAUGAUAACCAGUAGCACAGGUGGGCCUGGAAUUGCUAUGUAGAGUCUUUCCGUGAAUAAGAUCUUUUCCAACAAAAGUCACAUCAAUUCAUCCCAAUAAGUCCAAGUUCUGUAGUCUUGGUGAAAGACUAAGCACUGGUGGCCAGCAGUGGUGAACACAGAGCCAAGGUUCCUCCAGACAUUUCUCUGGCUACCAGCUGAGCUCUCCAGGCUCUUGUGUUUUCCCUCAUGUGUGUUUUCAUAUUAAGGAUGAGACAUGAGUAUGAAAAGAAGCCAUUCUUCUAUACAACCUAAAUGGAAAGAUGCUACAAGUGAUUUCAGUCAAGCAGUGUGCAUGGAAGAUGCUUCAAAAGAUGAGAAAGAAUCACAAACAAGAAGAAAUCUAGUUUGUUCUUGCUUAAAUUCCAUGAGUGCUUAAGUCUUUCAAGAAUUCAUAAUGCCCCUUCAUGUAAAUUAUGGGAUCCAUGAGGAAAAUCUCUCUUAACAUUACUGGAUUCCAUCCUUAACCCUGAGGAGCUAUGUGACAUUGGAUCAAGUUCUGUAAGUUCCAGUUCCUCAUGCUGAAAAAUCAAGUCGGACUAACAUGUCGGACAGUUUUAUGUCAACUUGAUACAAGUUAAGGUAAGUUAAGUGAAAGAAACCUCAGUUAAGAAAAAUGCCUCCAAGCCCAUUGUGGAUGGUGCUUUCCCUGAGCUGAUGAUCCUGGGGUCUAUAAGAAAGAAGGCAGAGCAAACCAGUAAGCAAUAUUCCUUCAUGGCUUCAGGAUUAGCUCCUGCCUCCAAAUUCCUGCUGUUUGAAGUCGUGUCCUUACUACUUUUAAUAAUGAACUGUUUAUAUGGAACUGUGAAUGAAAUAAACCCUUUCCUCCCCAUGUUGCUCUUGGUUAUGGUGUUUCAUCACCUCAAUAGUAACCUUGACUAAGACAACUAGCGACAUAGUUCAUUGGCCUAGUGAGUACUUUCCUAGAAUAUAGGAUCCCCAGUACUUCCCAAGAAGUAUAAUAAAAUAUCUAUUUUAUUCAACACUUCCAGCAAACUGAGCAGAAGAGUCAAUGAAUGUUAAGCAAAUUAUUUUCAUAAUUAUUUUUCUUACUGUGUAGAUAUGAUUAGUUGUUGAGAGUUUAGGCUAAUUUUUAAAGCAGUAUGGAUUAAAGCAUGAGAUGUUUUUCUGUUGAACUAAUAGACUAAGGCAUAGUUAGGCCACUAAAGAGAAAAAACUGGAAAAAUUCCUAUUUCUGUUCAAUUUAAAAUAUUUGGAACUGAAAUUUAAAACUUAAAAUGAAGUAUUCUUCUACAUUAAGAAUUACUAGGCAUGCAAAAAAAAGGAAAAGGAAAAAUAUUAAGUAGGAAUUCUUGUAAAAUCAUAAAUUAUUCAAAAAUAAAAGAACACCUACCAUUUACAACUCAAACAUGCAAGAAAAAAAUGAAGUAGAUUCUUUUGAUGAGUAAUUCAGUUACUUAGGUCUGUGGUGUGAAAGUAUACAUAAAAAUGAUAUAUGUGCACAAUUCUUAGUUCCUUUUAAAAAGUGAUCAUCUUCAAGGGUAAGUAUGAGUUUUAUUUAGAAUUGAGUAUCCCCCAACACGCACAAAUACAAAAGAAUCUCUUUGAAGUCUGGGGACCAAAUUCAGAAGAUAUCUCAUCCCAGUAGUUGAGAAAUUAGCCAGC
rnacentral:lncRNA from 1 species